ensembl:lncRNA
GUGCUCAUGCAGUAAGUGUUUAAGCAUGUGAUUAAGCUCAUUCUUACUCAGUGAAGCAUUUCAGCACAUGCUCUGUGUACUUCACAGUUAGGGGUGAACUUAGCACAUGCUCAGGAGUGCUGGUGGAUCAAGGUCUCUAAGCUUGAAUUUGCAAGUGUUCCAAUGCCAGUGUCUGUGCCAGGUGUCCUGGUGACUUCUCUUGGCUUAUGUUGGAGGGACUCCCUGCUGGCUCUCUGCUCUCCCUUCAGAGCCAGACUGUAUGGCAAAACUUGCUUCAAACUGUUCACCUGAACUGGGUAGGAGCUGUAUCCUGAAUCUGGAAGUGCUUUUAAAGGAACAGAUACAUUUGUAAUUUGUAGUAUUUGAAGUGACUGAGCUAAAACACUGAGAAAUAUGUAAGAGUGAAUGUGCUUGUGCUCUAUAUUGAUAGCAUUUUCUGCAAGCCCCAGAAGUGGGACUCGGGAAGAGGCAACCCUUUGUAUAUGCACUCACUUCUCUCAGAUGUCCAGGUGGAGCUGGAAGAUUGAUGCUGAUAGGAAGGGCUAGGCACACACACACAAAAAGGCUUCUGAGAUCACAGAAUCAUAAAGGAAAAGACUACUGAGAUCAUCCAGUCCAACCAUCAACCCACCCCCACCGUGCCCACUAAUCUAUGUCCAUCAAUACUACAUCUCCAUAGUUCUCCAGGAACGCUGACCCCACCACUUCCCCAGGCAGCCUGUUCCAAUACCUCACCAGAGGUAUUCAGAGAUUUUUUCCUAAUAUCCAGUCAACAUCCGUUCUUGUGCUUAGCUAAUCAUACUUGAGUCUCAGUUUUGGGCUCUGGAACUAGCAAAAGAGUAGGGUCUCUGGGUUACCCAGCCUGGAGAAGAGAACCAUAAAGCACAGAGAAGUUGAUUCUGCUGGGCUUCAAGGAAAGCUAUACUUUGAGCAAACAGUAAAGGCAAGGGAAGGGUUAAAAGUUUGUCUUCUCCUCCCAGACACAUUAUUUACAGUUGGUUGGUUUCCUUUUGGAAGGGACCACUGUAAAAUGAGACGUUCCCAGUGUUUCAGUGGGUUAGACCUGUAUCACAUUACAGUUUUCUUUCCUUGACUCUUGACUGACACCAUUUCCUGAGGUUCUCUUCUCUCAGGAAGGCAAACUCAGGAACGAGUAGGAGUUUGCUGAAAAUCCAGAGCCUUGGAAGGCAGAAAUGCAAUGAUGUCCUUUUCUUUCUAGAAGUAAGGUGUCUUCUGAGAUUCAACGAUGGAACAACACGUAUAGUCAACACAUUACCAUCUUAUGGCACUGUGCAGAACACUCCAAAGCUACCCUGUAUCUGCACAAUUCAUGGAUACCCUGAGAUAUUGUUCUGGUAUCAGGACUGGGAGGUUUGGAUCUAACUCACCCCACCCAAGGCCCAUCACCCAUCGGUGAUUCAGCUGAAGAUGCUCCUGCAGAGAGGUUUGGUGGCCAUGGGUGGGUCUGGAUGAGAGGAACACAAGUGCUGUUCAAAGGUUACCUCCCCAUGGCUGAUAAAUGAUGGUGGUUGGUGCUUCCAGCUGCCAUGGAUGGCUCCUGUCUUGUCCUUGUCUCUUCUUCCUAAUUACCAGUUCUUUUUUAGGUUCCAUGUGAGCUCUGUGAUUUUCUCCUUGCCGCUGCAGAGGCCGUGGGUGCUGCCCAAGGAGAGCAGGUGCUGGGGAAGGGAAGCUCAUGGGCAGAGAGAGCCUGGAGCGAGGAGAUCAGAAGGGGAUCUGCUGGGGAGAGUGGAGCCAAGCUGUUCCUCAUCUCCUGCAUCCAGAUUUUGGACUCUCAGUCAUGAUAUUUGAGGGCUAAAUCCCUGUUACGUGGUUGCUAGCAGAGAAGAGCUGGGCCUCAAGGAUGACUGAAGGGCUGGAGAUGGAUUUGUUCAGCCUGGAGAAGAGAAGGCUCCAGGGGGAUUUCAUUGUGGCUUUCCAGUACCCAACGGGAGGCUACAGAAAAGUUGGGGAGAGACUCUUUGUCGGGCGUUGUCAGGACAAGAGGUAAUGGUUUUAAACUAAAAAGAGGGUAGGUUUAGUUUGGAUAAGACAAAGAAAUUCAUCACAAUGAUGGUGGUGAGGUGCUGGCACAGGCUGCUCAGAGAAGCUGUGGGAUGCACCAUCCCUGGAGGUGCCCAAGGCCAGCCUGAAUGAGGCUUUGGGCAGUCUGAUGUGGUGGGAGUUGUCCCUGCCCAAAGCAGGGGUUGGAACCAGAGAAUCUUUAAGGUUCCUUUCCAACCUAAACCGUUCUGAGAUUCUAUGACUGAUUUGUCACUGCCCAGCCCUGCUGCUCUGCUGAGGCCCUUUUUUUCUGAGACCAAGUGCUGCAGGAGCAUCAGGAGGAAGCACACUCAGAAGUGUUUAUUAUUGUUGUCAAAUGAUAAGUUUCCUUUCUACCCUGGAGAUAUUGAUCUCUGCUGUGGUCCCCACAGCUUCCUUUUUCCUGUAUUGAGGUCUGACACGUCUCUUGAAAGACGGCCUUAGCCAUGGAAGAGGCUUUCAUUGCUGACAUUUUGUUUCAGGCAUGCAUUUCCCCCACGGUCCGGUUACAAAGACCUACUAUGCCCCUGGGUGGGUUGCUUAGACAUAUGGCACUGUGGUGCUCUGAGCCUUCCUCUCUUCCCUCCUCUCUCCCAGUAAAGCAAAAUUGUUCAGCUUUCCUCCUUGGUCCUUUCUCUCUUGUCUGAAGUUGGCCUCUUCUUCAGGCAGCUAGUGACAGAACAAGAGGGAAUGGCCUUAAAUUGCACCAGGGGAGGUUCAGGUUGGAUAUUAGGAAACAUUUAUUCUCAGAAAAAAUUGUGAGGUAUUGGCAUAGCUGCCCAGGGAGGUGGUGGGGUCACCGUCCCUGGAGGUGUUCCAGAGGCAUGGAGAUGUGGCACUGUGGGACAUGGAUUGGUGAGCACGGUGGGGUGGGUUGAUGGUUGGACUGGAUGACUGGGAAUUGUGAAGGUCUUUUCUGACCUUAAUGAUUCUGUGAUUCUCUGAAGUCAUGCAGCUGUGGAGGUGUUCCUUAUGACUUCAGAGCACUUUUGUCUUUGGUCUAAAUGAACUCUGUGGAUCCAUUGCAAACGCAUGAACUAGGAAACGGAUUUAAUGUUUGGGAAACGGUAAGCAGAGGGCUGGACUUUUCUUUUAUUCUGGUGUGUUCUCUCUGCUCUUUUUUCAUUUCUCAACAAAAGCAUCAUAACAUGGGCAGGAAAGACAACAGGAAAGACAAUAAAAUAGAUGAAAAUAAAUCACCAUCCCUACAGGAUAUCACAGAAUCAAUGCUUUAGCACAGGGGAAGAAAACAAAAGGCUCUUUGUCCUGCCAAAGAACACACUGAUAUCAAAAUAAAACCCCAAAGAUUUGACUGAUAUGCAGUUACUGGGGGUAGCAAAAUGGGAAGUGUGAUGCUGGGCAGAAUGUAGCUGGUCCUUGUGCUAAAAAACAGUGCCUCCAUGUGCUGGCUUCACUCUUGUUCUCAUUGACUGAUUCUACAAGACCAUUUUCUUGGUGGUCAGGGCUGCAUUCAGAAACCACUCACGGUGUGCUGAUGAAAAGGCCAAUUUUGUGAGUAAACAUCCUAAUAAGCAGGUCUUGACAGAUGGUUUGUUGCUCGAGCCCCACAUAAACCUACAGCUUGUGUCAGUGUCUCCAACAGAUGUUUCCCUGGAGAACCUCCCAGCAGUGUGCUCAGGAGCUCUCAGCUUUCACAGCACGCCUGGCUGCAUCCCGAGGAGGAGCCCCGGUGCUUGCUCAACACAUUGCAGAGAUGUCUUUGGGAGCAACAGAUUCCAGAAACGUGUUUCUCAUAGCAUUGAUAAAAUCAUGCUCCUGAUGGAGCCUGUUGGUGGCUAAGCAGGGUAAGCAAAGGAGACUGUGCAUAGCAGCUGCUGCUAUCACUUGGUUCAGGAGCAGGGAGGAAUGUUCAGUGCCACGUGAAGCAGAACAAGAAACCUUUUGUAUACUUUAGGUAACCCUCAGUUCUUUUUGUUUUGGUACUAUCUUGUUUCAGACUUUGAAAUAUCUGUCCUCCUUUCCCUAUGUUUUCUAGCAAAUCAGAAAAAAAUGACUUAGCCAAUGAUUCUUAUCAGCGAGUCUCUUCCUUUUCCCCAUUUCCUCUGUUUGUGAGUCUGACAAGCUGGUCUGAGCCCUGGGACCCUACAGUCACUCGCAACAUCAGAUGUGUACUCCUCCACAGAGCAAGUAUUUCCAUUAAGAGCUGGUGGAGAAAUUUCACUGUGUUCUGCUGUCUUGGGUUGCUCACGGGACUGUGUUGUAGUUUCCAUCACCUGUCCUUCAGAUUAGGCAAUUUAGAUGUGACUGAUUUGCAGUGUUUCUGGUGGGCUGUGCAGGGACUUGCAGCUCCCUGCCUCCCCAAGAGCAACAGGAACAGAACUGAGGUUCAGAGGCUGCUGUUGGCUACUGCUGCCCUGCUGAGGUUGGCUGUUGGAAAUGGGCUUAAAGUGAUGGUUCUGGGUGAAAUUAGGCUGAAUUCCUUCCAAAUCAGUAGACAUUUUGCAGAAGAAAUUAUGCACCAGUUUGCAUUCUGUCACAGAAGAGAUGAUCUCUGGAGCACCAGGCCUCUCAGUUCUCCAUCUCUUGUGUUUGCCCCUGAGAUGGUCUAAUAGCUGAGACAUCCCAAUCUGAGAGCUGUGGGAGCACUGAGGUCCCCUCCUGCAAAACAGCUUGUCUGGCAGCAGGCUGCCCUAGGGCCCUGGAAACCUGAAUGGUGGAGGAACCAGAUGGGUGGCCAGGCAGGAAACUCAGCAGGUUUCUGACAUCUGGAGCCCUAUGUGAGUUUCAUGGGAACCUGGGCAAAAUUGACUCACCUUGUUGAGAUUUUGCUGAAUUGGUGAAUUCCUCCGAAAUGCAGUUUUGCCUGAAACCUUCCGAGCAGGUGCAGUAUCUUCAGCUAUCUCCUGGAGAUGAUGACUGUGCGUUCCCCUACGUUUUGCUGCAUGGGUCUUCUGGGAGUCAAGGAAGCACUUGUGUACUGCUGAGCCCUCUGCCAGCCUCCAUGCUCUUGAAGUGGUGUUGAAGAAGGAGGAUAUGGGAAAUUGGCAGAGAUGGGUGAAGGAUGCUGGCAGGUUAUUCUGGCCCUUAGAAAAUCAUUGUCUUCUCCUCAUUACUCUACACCUCAUCCACCGACUCUGUCUUGUCCCGUAGACUAUAAAUUCUCCAUGUUAAAUUAACUCCCCAAGUUGACUAUUUGUUUUCACAGCCUCUAGCUGAGUUUCCUACGUGCUACCCUAAUAUAAACAGUAAUAAAGACAGCUCCGUCCUGCUGCAAACCACUUCUAAGGAUGUUCCUUCUAAUUCUCUUCCUUGUUUAGCGUUGUAUCAUUAAAAGGCAUGAGGUGGUUAAUUGGAGGCUUACAGCUUUUGUGACUGAUGCAAACCAGUGUGUGAGUAAUUGCUCACUGCAAACGCUCAGGUGAACACUUUAAAAGAAAAUGCUUUAAAAGAGGCAGAUGGCCCUGAGCAGAAGGCUCCCUGCAAAAGGUCAGAGGAAAAGGUUAGCGAUAGGGCUGCCCCGAAGCUGGGAAAAAGAACCUAAUACCUGGCCAACUGGUGAAGAGCCUGGCUAGACUGCAGCUUUGUUCCCCAAAGGGGGCUGCUGCUGCGGCAGAGCUCCUACAUCAAAGCUCUCCUAAAAAAAACACAGCAGAGAUCCGUAUCACCCAGCCUGUGGCACUGGAGGGAAAUGGAUUGGUUGACAAGUCAGAGGCCCUUUUUGGGCAGAUGGCUGGGUAGGAGUCACUGGCUGCUUGCAAAAUCUCCGAACCAGCCUUUAAUCUGCGCGUGAUACUGUAUGUUUUAGCGAGCAUUGAGAUGUUUAUCUCGGCUGCAUUAGUCACCAGGAGAGCCUGCUCCCAACCUUUUCUCUUCUGCACCUUCACUGCAGGCUUCUUCCCCCAGUUUUUGGGACAGCUGUGGGCUAAACAGCGUGGGAUUCAUUGGGCUUCCUGUCAUUUCGAUGGGGGACUAUUCAGGAACAAGUUGACUUGGUAGUACUCUGCAGAACAAAUGCAGAACAACACCGUGACUUUGUGUUUGUUGUGGUGGACUUUCAGAGCCUUGCCCAGGAGCCAGUGGUCUGAAAACUCUUAUCGUGCUCCUAAACAAAUAGUUCUGUCUUGAAGACCAUAAGAAUAACAACUACAAAGCUGUGAUUCUCCCAACCUGAUGUUAAGUGCUUUGCGGUGCCAAAGGUAAACGGGAUCAAUCAGUCAUCCUCCUGGGGAUGGUCUGAUGGCAGCCCAUGAAUCAAGCCUGGCUUUAAGGUCACUUUAUCUGCCCCGAGCUGUGCAAGCCGACCAAAUUGGGGUCUUGCUCUGCAUGUGCAAGCUGAAGAGUGCAAGGCUGGGUCUGGCAGUGUGCAUUAAUUAGGUGGAGCCAGUGUAAAUAUAUCUAUUUUGGCGGGCUCUGCAAGAGGAUGACACCUGAGUGUGCGAACUCUGGCCAUCUCUGCUCUCCUACAAAGCUGAUAUAGAGUCAUAGAAUCAUUAGGGUUGGAAAAGACCACUAAAAUCAUCUAGUCCAACUAUCACCACCGUGUCCGCUAAGCUGUGUCAAUAUUGCUGUACUGCAUCUGCUGGAUUGGCCAAACACCUUGAUGCUGCUUUUACUUCUGUGCUUUUGUACCUGUGGAGUAUUUUUGUCUUCUUUUGGCUAUAACAAUAAAGGGCUUAGCUUAGCGGGGAAACAAAACUCCCAGCAACGCCUGUAGAAUGCAGACAGUUUAAUAGUCUGAAGUUUUGCUAAUCCAGACAGUAACAUGAGCUCAGGGUGUUCAGCUGAGGUCCCACUAUAACUUUGCACACCAUCCAGUGAGAUUUAGAGCCUACUAGGUCACGGGCUCUGCACGCAAUUAAAAAGCUCUUUUCCCCAAGGGGUUCACGACACAGAGACAGCAUAUUAUCCUCCCAAUUGGUUUAUUGCAGCAAACUAGGGCACAGAAGUCAGAUUAUCCGGGGGCACGCUAAGACCAUUCAUACGCCGUUGAACUUGGAAGAGGCAUUUUUUUGUGACAUCUGUAUUCAAUCAAUCUGUCGUAAAUUCAGAGUGCCAGAUCCAUUUUCUGGGGCCAUUAAAGUACACAGCGCUUGUGCGAGGCUGCAGCUGCAACGCAAACGUGGGUUUGCGUUCAGAGAAUGAGUUGUGCUACCUCUCACUAUGGCUGUAGAGAACAAGAACCUGGUGGCCCUGGUCUUCUGAAUACACUUGAGCCAACUACAAACUGGACUGUCACCUCCAGCUGUGCCAUAUGCACCUUGGCUAUAUGUGUAAUGCUUGGAUAGACCUUGGCAGGGAGGAGAUUCAUUGCUAGGCAUUACAGAAGUCUUUGCAAAGCCUCUCUCUGUGUGAAGCAGGCUCCUUCCCCAGCCUACCUCUGAAUUUUGGCUUUUAGCUCUCCAACAGCCCGCUGUGGCUGUGGUUCUGACAAUAUGAGAAUGUUGAGAGAAGCCCAGUUCAUCCAAAUGUGUACAGCCACAGCUCAUGCUUUUACAGCAUAUAUUCAGUGAAGCAAUGCCUUUAUCUGCAAUACUUAGUCUUUAUCUACCAUCUUUUCAGUGUAAAGCUUUUUUUGAAACGCAGAUUAAGUAAUAACAGCGUAGGAUAAUUGAGUGCAUUUUUUCACAGUGACUUAAUGAUACUUAUCUAUAGCUACUGAAAAGCAAGGAUAACAUACUGUGUGAGCGCUGUAUUAUCUAGCUUCUGAAACAGACCAAGUUUGGCAUUAGGGCUUAACUAAUUGAAAUACGGCCCCUUGUACUAAAGCCUGUUUGUUUAUAAUAAGCCCUAAUAUGUCUUUCUAAUGGACAUUGCAACGUCAGAAGCACUGAAUGCUGGCUCUGCAACCUGUGAGGUAGUAGUGUACUGAGUGUGGAGGUCAUACCAUGUCACAGCUACACUGGAUGCCUCUCCUGUUAGGUGAGGACAAAACCCAUCUUGCUGCUGGAAGAGCUGACUUUGGGCAUCAUGUUUGUAAUGUGUGUUAGUUUUUUGAUGGCAGGGGAGUUGCAGUUCUGGGCCUGCUCUGCAUCAUGGCUUUUGUGGGUAAUUAGUUGCAGCAGUGUUAUGAGCAGACCUUACAAACCCACUGAGUGAUUUUUUUUCUGAGGGUUGUGGCUUAGUGGGUAUAAUGAUGAUGGGUUGACUAUUGGACUAAAUGAUCUUAGUGGUCUUUUCCAGCCUGAACGGUUCUAUGAUUCCAUGACUUUAUUUGCCUAGGAGUCCUGGUGGAACAAAGUGAUGGGCUGACAUGGAGGUGAAGCUGGACUCCCUUUGAAUCCUACCAAGCAAGGAAGAAAACAUAAAUUACAGCUCCCCCUGAAUCCUCAAACACGUGAGCCUCUUCCACAGCAGGACAGCCUGCACAUCUUCUUGAAAGAAUAGAGGACUGAUGGUAAAACAGUUAUUUUUGAAGUGGAUUACUGUCCAGCGUGGCAUUUUAGUCUUUCUUGCAUUAGUUCAGGCUGAACACAAUGGUGUCUCUGGAUAAUUUUCCACCUGUCUGUUUUGAAUAUCAGAUGGAAGUGUUUAGCUGGUGAACUGGAAUGGUGCCAGAUUUUGCAGGAGCCUUUUCUCUUGAGUUCUGCUGUUUUUGUAACUACUUAGAUGGAAUUAUCCAAGCAUGCUCCAGGCUGGCAUGGGGUAAAUGCUGAGCAACACAACUGGAAUCGGCUCUUCAUAUGUCAACACAAUUCCAUAGUUAAUGUCAAGGAACAAGCUACUGGAGCACAUUUAACUGUAAUUCACAAGUCCUCAAAGGGCCAGAAGGGUAUUUGAUGUUGUACAGACCUGCAGGAUGACCCUGACCCGUCAGCACAGUCAUUCCAGAAACUGAAAAGAAAGUCAUUUGCACCAUUUUGUUGCUGGACUGAGGUGCAGUGUGCAUAAAUGUGCAUGAAAGCUGUAUUGCUGAGCAUGACUGAAAGCGUCUUCCUCUCUUAAGCAUCCUCUAAUAGGAUGGAAGUAGGAUAAUUCAGCCAGGUAAUGCGGAGCUUUGAAGUUAAUGACUCUAUUAGGUAUUUAGCAUAUUCAUGUUGGAGACCUUGGAUAACUGGAAUACCGAAUUUAGGAUUUCUAAUUGACUCAGCUAUUACUUCCUUGUGCUGCUUGGUUGGGGCUGAUCGUGAGGAAAGAGGUAGCAGUGCCAGCUGCUGUUUUCCCUAGUGGAAAACGAACCCGACCAUCCCCAUUCUCACAUGUGGUUGGUAUCUCCACAGUGCAGGAAUUUGUUAGCUUAAAGCUUCUCUCUAAAUGGGUGACAACUCUUCCCUGAUAAGCUGUGGCAGCCCUGCAUGUGAGACCUCAGACACCAAAUAAACAGUGCUGGCAUCAGAUAAUUCUGUUUAGAAUGCCAAAGCCUCAGAAGUAUCCUAUCUUUUGAAAUGCAGUGAUUUUUUUUUUCAUGGGUUGUUUACAUCUUCCUGCAGUGACUUCAUGUCAGCUGUUAGCUCUUCAGUGUCUAUGAAAGAUUAAACCAUUGAUCCUACAAAGCAUGUGCAGGAUUCUGGUCUUUUUUUUUUUUUCCGUAAGCAUUUGGGGAAUGAUUUAUCCGUCAUUCCUC